GCAAGUAAACCAAAGUCUGUUUGCAACCGCAAUUAUCGUUUUAGAAUAAAAAGGGGGGUGAAUUCAAGACGUCAUAACUUUUGGGAUUACGAUUCAAUAUCAUCUGUUUGACAUUUUUUGGUUAAUACUACAAUUGUAUGGUUUUUCUACAAGAGAUAUAUUAGGCCAAUUAAAAUUAAUUGAUAGAUUUUCAUCCCCGCCCGCCCCUUUGAAAUCUUCCCGCCCCGAUUUUUUUUAUUUUUGAAAAAAAUUACGAUUUCCGGAUUUUGUUCAUUUCCGUUACCGGAAACCGUCGAUAUUUCGUUUCGUGUAAAACUUCCUGUUGCAAAUUUCGGUUUUUGUAUUUCUUAGAGUAUUCUAACUGGAUUAUUAAGGUGGUAUGGGUGUCUAAAAUAAAAAUGAUAGAAUUUGUUCAUACUUUGCCAAAACGUAGUAUCUAUUGAUAUAUGUUGGAAAAUAUAAUAAAAAUGAUAGGUCACCGUGCAUUUUCUCAAGCUACAGUAUCAAAAGAAAAGAUGGGGUCACCGUACGUUUUUUCCGGCUAAAAUACAAAAUAGGAAAACUUCAUGUAGAAUCCUUCAGAAAAUGCAUUGUUUUAGAGUUACCUCCCCUUGAAAUGCCAAUUUAAAAAAAAAUUAAAAACAACCAAAACUAAUCAACAUUUACAAAAAUAUUAAUAUUUGUAUGUUAUAUUCCUAUAAAUUGGUUCCUUUAAAUGAAAAUCACAUUAAAUAUCUGCAUUCCUGCAUCCCAUUUUGCUAUUUUGAUAGAAAAUAUGGACCUUUGGUUCUCUUACAAUCCAAGAUGGAGGAAGACACCCAUACCACCUUAAGUCCAUAUAUUCUGCUGAUCUAUGAUGACAACAUCAUUUACCGAGAAUAAACUAAAAGAUUGAUCACGAGAAAGGCGUGAAAUAUUCGCUGUACACUAUGUCACAAAUGACAAAUUUAUGUUUGUGAGUAAA
rnacentral:lncRNA from 1 species